rnacentral:rRNA from 1 species
GAUCUGGCUGGCCGGUCCGCCUCACCGCGUGCACUGGUCCGGCCGGGUCUUUCCUCCUGGGGAUCCGCAUGCCCUUCACUGGGCGUGUUGGGGAACCAGGACUUUUACUUUGAAAAAAUUAGAGUGUUCAAAGCAGGCCUUUGCCCGGAUACAUUAGCAUGGAAUAAUAGAAUAGGACGU